UACAGAGGGUGCAAGCGUUAAUCGGAAUUACUGGGCGUAAAGCGUGCGUAGACGGUUAUGUAAGUCAGAUGUGAAAGCCCCGGGCUCAACCUGGGAAUUGCAUUUGAGACUGUGUAGCUAGGGUGCGGAAGAGGGAAGCGGAAUUUCCGGUGUAGCGGUGAAAUGCGUAGAUAUCUGGAGGAAUACCGGUGGCGAAGGCGGCAUCCUGGACCGGCAUUGACGCUGAUGAGCGAAAGCUAGGGGAGCAAACGGG
rnacentral:rRNA from 1 species